rnacentral:tRNA from 1 species
CCAUUGGUGGUUCAGUGGUAGAAUUCUUGCUUUCCAUGUAGGAGGCCCGGGUUUAAUUCCCGGCCAAUGUA